CGGGUGGCUGCAACCAGGAAUAUUGCGCAAUGGACGAAAGUCUGACGCAGCGACGCCGCGUGCGGGAUGAAGGCCUUCGGGUCGUAAAUCGCUGUGGAGAGGAAUGAAUAAUAUGACAGUACCUUUCUAGAAAGCACCUGCUAACUACGUGCCAGAAGCCUCGGUAAUACGUAGGGUGCUAGCGUUAUCCGGAAUCACUGGGCGUAAAGGGUUUUGUAGGCGGUAAGUUAAGUGGUGGGUUAAAGGCUAAGGCUCAACCUUAGACAUGCCCAUCAAACUAACUAACUAGAGAUAGUUUGGGGAUGCUGGAAUUCUCGGUGUAGUAGUGAAAUGCGUUGAUAUCGAGAAGAACACCAAAGGCGAAGGCAGGCAUCUAAGACUUAUCUGACGCUGAGAAACGAAAGCUGGGGGAGCGAAAGGGAUUAGAUACCCCGGUAGUC
rnacentral:rRNA from 1 species